CCUACGGGCGGUAGCAGUGGGGAAUAUUGCACAAUGGGGGGAACCUUGAUGCAGCAACGCCGCGUGGGUGAAGAAGUACUCCGGUAUGUAAAGCCCUGUCAGCAGGGAAGAAAAUGACGGUACCUGACCAAGAAGCCCCGGCUAACUACGUGCCAGCAGCCGCGGUAAUACGGAGGGGGCAAGCGUUAUCCGGAUUUACUGGGUGUAAAGGGAGCGUAGACGGGUUGGUAAGUCAGAUGGGAAAGUCUGGGGCUCAACCCUAAAAGUGCAAUUGGAACUGGCAGGCUAGAGUACAGGAGAGGCAGGCGGAAUUCGUGGUGUAGCGGUGAAAUGCGUAGAUAUUAGGAAGAACUCCGAUGGCGAAGGCGGCCUACUAGACGAUGACUGACGUUGAGGCUCGAAAGCGUGGGGAGCAAACAGGAUUAGAUACCCGGGUAGUC
rnacentral:rRNA from 1 species